rnacentral:lncRNA from 1 species
UUUUUUUUUUUUUUUUUUUUUUUUAGACGGAGCAUUUAUUUGGGAUGAGGAAAGGAAAUUGAGCAGAAGGUACAGGAGUAAUAGCAAUUCCCUGUAGCUCUCAAAGCAAAUUUUGAGCUCAUUUUUCUUUUUCUGCAAGCUCAGCAGCAGAAUGCCCAGAGUCUUCCCUGGUAGAUGCAGCAGAAUGCCCAGAGUCUUCCCUGGUAGAUGCAGGUUCCAUAGCGACGUUCUCCUGCAAUGCACGCUGGUAUUCUGCAAUAGCAGUCCAUGUUUUUCCUUGAGCCUGGGACAGGGAGAGCAUGAGAAAUUGAGUAUGGAGUUAGCAGUGGGUAAGAAAAAGAAUCUCGGGGAAGUCACAUGCUAGCUGACAGGUGAUGCUGGCUGCAUUGCAGCCGUUAGCACGAACAACCUCAGUCGAUAGGAAUAAACACGCAGAGCAGUGCUUGUCACACAGAAUUUGAGACUCAUUCUCCUUUGCUCUCAUUUUUGCAUUCCUGCCCCAUCACACACACACCUGAACAUACCCUCAGGCUUGGCUGCAGUUUUUAAAAGCUCUUCUGUAGAGUAAAAUGUUCUCUUUACAACUAAGUCUACUUGUUUAGAUCCAGAAAUAACUAGUCUGUCUCUUCAUAUCUUAAACUUAGUGAAUUUCACAGAUGUUUCUUGGAAUCAAGUCUUUGGAGAAAUAAAGUUUCUCAGGUUUAUUUGGCUCUCUGUUCAAUUUCUAGAUGAGAAAAUCAAUGCCCAGAGAUUCUAAGUGAAGCCACCUCAGUGACAUAGACUGCUGAGACCCAACUCUGGAACCUCUCUCCCGUCCUUCCCUCUAGACUUAGCAGCUCUGCAUGCCUGCCUCUCUC